rnacentral:rRNA from 1 species
GCUGCCGAGAAAAGCCUCUAGCGAUGUUGUGCGCGGCCCGUACCCUAAACCGACACAGGUGGUCAGGUAGAGAAUACCAAGGCGAUCGGGUGAACUGUGGUUAAGGAACUCGGCAAAUUGCCCCCGUAACUUAGGGAGAAGGGGGGCCACUGCUGGUGAACGGACUUGCUUCGGGAGCUGGUGGUGGUCGCAGAGAGCAGGGGGAAGCGACUGUUUACUAAAAACACAGGUCCAUGCCAAGUCGUAAGACGCUGUAUAUGGACUGACGCCUGCCCGGUGCUGGAACGUUAAAAGGACCUGUUAGCCUCUAGGGGCGAAGCGGAGAAUUGAAGCGCCAGUAAACGGCGGUGGUAACUAUAACCAUCCUAAGGUAGCGAAAUUCCUUGUCGGGUAAGUUCCGACCUGCACGAAUGGCGUAACGACUUCCCCACUGUCUCAACCACAGGCCCGGCGAAAUUGCAGUACGAGUAAAGAUGCUCGUUACGCGCGGCAGGACGGAAAGACCCCGGGACCUUCACUAUAGCUUGACAUUGGCAUUUGAACUUAAUUGUGUAGGAUAGGUGGGAGCCUGUGAAGUGUGGACGCCAGUCCAUGUGGAGGCAAUCUUGAAAUACCACUCUGUUGAAUUUGGGUGUCUAACCACGGACCCUGAUCGGGUUCUGGGACCGUGUCUGGUGGGUAGUUUAACUGGGGCGGUUGCCUCCUAAAAGGUAACGGAGGCGCCCAAAGGUUCCCUCAGCCUGGUUGGCAAUCAGGUGUUGAGUGUAAGUGCACAAGGGAGCUUGACUGUGAGACUGACAGGUCGAGCAGGGACGAAAGUCGGGACUAGUGAUCCGGCACCGGCAUGUGGAAGCGGUGUCGCUCAACGGAUAAAAGGUACCCCGGGAUAACAGGCUGAUCUUCCCCAAGAGUCCAUAUCGACGGGAUGGUUUGGCACCUCGAUGUCGGCUCGUCGCAUCCUGGGGCUGGAGUAGGUCCCAAGGGUUGGGCUGUUCGCCCAUUAAAGCGGUACGCGAGCUGGGUUUAGAACGUCGUGAGACAGUUCGGUCCCUAUCCGCCGCGCGCGUAGGAAACUUGAGAAGGGCUGUCCCUAGUACGAGAGGACCGGGACGGACGAACCUCUAGUGUGCCAGUUAUCCCGCCAGGGGUACGGCUGGUUAGCCACGUUCGGAAGGGAUAACCGCUGAAAGCAUCUAAGCGGGAAGCCUGCUUCAAGACCACGUUUCCCACCCGUACAGCAAUGUGCGGGGUAAGGCCCCCGGCCAGACCACCGGGUAGACAGGCCAGAUGUGUAAGCCCAGCAAUGGGUUCAGCUGACUGGUACUGAUAGGCCGAGGACUUCACACU